rnacentral:rRNA from 1 species
CAUAGGGGUCGAGUUCGGCUGGAUCGGUGGACAGGUGCUGCAUGGCUGUCGUCAGCUCGUGUCGUGAGAUGUUGGUUAAGUCCCGCAACGAGCGCAACCCUUGUCCUUAGUUGCCACCAUUCAGUUGGGCACUCUAAGGAGACUGCCGGUGUUAAACCGGAGGAAGGUGGGGAUGACGUCAAGUCCUCAUGGCCCUUAUAUCCAGGGCUACACACGUGCUACAAUGGCCGGUACAAAGGGUCGCCAACCCGCGAGGGGGAGCCAAUCCCAUAAAGCCAUUCGUAGUCCGGAUCGCAGUCUGCAACUCGACUGCGUGAAGUCGGAAUCGCUAGUAAUCGUGGAUCAGAAUGUCACGGUGAAUACGUUCCCGGGUCUU